rnacentral:rRNA from 1 species
AGAGUUUGAUCCUGGCUCAGAACGAACGCUGGCGGCGUGCUUAACACAUGCAAGUCGAGUGCGCGCCUGUAGCAAUACAGGUGGCGCACGGCGCACGGGUGCGUAACACGUGGGUAAUCUGCCCUCUGAUGGGGAAUAACUCGCCGAAAGGCGAGCUAAUUCCGCAUAAUAUUCCGAGAACUUUGGUUUUUGGACUGAAAGGCGUAAGUCGUCGGAGGAGGAGCCCGCGCACGAUUAGCUAGUUGGUAGGGUAAUGGCCUACCAAGGCUUUGAUCGUUAGCUGGUCUGAGAGGAUGGCCAGCCACACUGGAACUGAGACACGGUCCAGACUCCUACGGGAGGCAGCAGUGGGGAAUCUUGCACAAUGGGCGAAAGCCUGAUGCAGCGACGCCGCGUGGGGGAUGAAGCUUCUCGGAGUGUAAACCCCUUUCGAUCCGGACGAAUACCUCGCAAGAGGGGUGACGGUACGGAUAUAAGAAGCCCCGGCUAACUACGUGCCAGCAGCCGCGGUAAUACGUAGGGGGCCAGCGUUGUUCGGAAUUACUGGGUGUAAAGGGUUCGUAGGCGGUGCGGCAAGUUGGGAGUGAAAUCUCUGGGCUUAACCCAGAGACGGCUUCCAAAACUGCUGUGCUUGAGUGUGGGAGAGGCUCGUGGAAUUGCAGGUGUAGCGGUGAAAUGCGUAGAUAUCUGCAGGAACACCCGUGGCGAAAGCGGCGAGCUGGACCACUACUGACGCUGAAGAACGAAAGCUAGGGGAGCAAACAGGAUUAGAUACCCUAGUAGUCC